UUUGGGUUUUAAGAGUACAUGCAAGAUGUUUUAAUGUUAAUUUAAUUUAUUUAUUGGGUCCACGUGUGUGCCUUUUACAUAUUUUAUGUUUAUUCUACCCGUACUCUUUUCAGAUAACCACUAUCCUGAAGCAUUAACAUUACUCCUCUUACAUGUAUUUUAUUCCUAAGUCAGGCUUAUUCAAGAUACUUUUAUAUACCCUGUACUUAUACCCAAGUUGCAGUUCAGAGAGAAUGAAGUCAUUUUUCUUAUGGAUGUUAAAUAUAUUGUUACAAAG